AACCUCAAGGAUGCGCCUACUUACUUUCAGGUGGCCUCGUUCCUGUAGUCGGCGCGACAACUCUCUUCGACUCACAGUGACAAAUCAACAUUUUUCAUGUGUGUGUUGCAAAACCACACAAUGGUAUGAAUGGUGAAUGAAUGUGAGUGUGAAUGUGAGUGUGAAUGAGCGUAUGAAUGUUACUACAACUGACUCUCCACAUGCAAACUACACUUCAUCCAUACCAGAGCUCUGUCGGCUUUGCAGUAGGAGGCUGCCCCACCUACACAAUACACACACUACAACACUACCGGUGGCCUCGUUCCUGUAGUCGGCGCGACAACUCUCUUCGACUCACAGUGACAAAUCAACAUUUUUCAUGUGUGUGUUGCAAAACCACACAAUGGUAUGAAUGGUGAAUGAAUGUGAGUGUGAAUGUGAGUGUGAAUGAGCGUAUGAAUGUUACUACAACUGACUCUCCACAUGCAAACUACACUUCAUCCAUACCAGAGCUCUGUCGGCUUUGCAGUAGGAGGCUGCCCCACCUACACAAUACACACACUACAACACUACCGGU